rnacentral:rRNA from 1 species
UUAAGUGAAUAAGGGCGCACGGUGGAUGCCUUGGCACUAGGAGCCGAUGAAGGACGGGACUAACACCGAUAUGCUUUGGGGAGCUGUACGUAAGCUAUGAUCCAGAGAUUUCCGAAUGGGGGAACCCAGCAUCUUUAAUAGGAUGUUACGAUUGUGUGAAUACAUAGCACAUUCGAGGUAGACGCAGAGAACUGAAACAUCUAAGUACCUGCAGGAAGAGAAAGAAAAUUCGAUUCCCUGAGUAGCGGCGAGCGAAACGGGAAAAGCCCAAACCAGCAAGCUUGCUUGUUGGGGUUGUAGGACUCCAAUAUGGUAGUUCUUUCAGAUAGUCGAAUGACUUGGAAAAGUCAGUCAAAGAGGGUAAAAACCCCGUAGACGAAAUGUGGAAGACACCUAGGAGGAUCCUGAGUACGGCGGAACACGAGAAAUUCCGUCGGAAUCCGGGAGGACCAUCUCCCAAGGCUAAAUACUCCCUAGUGACCGAUAGUGAACCAGUACCGUGAGGGAAAGGUGAAAAGCACCCCGGAAGGGGAGUGAAAUAGAACCUGAAACCGUGUGCCUACAACAAGUCAAAGCCCGUUAAUGGGUGAUGGCGUGCCUUUUGUAGAAUGAACCGGCGAGUUACGAUUGCAUGCGAGGUUAAGUUGAAGAGACGGAGCCGCAGCGAAAGCGAGUCUGAAUAGGGCGUUUGAGUAUGUAGUCGUAGACCCGAAACCAUGUGAUCUACCCAUGUCCAGGUUGAAGGUGCGGUAAAACGCACUGGAGGACCGAACCCACGUACGUUGAAAAGUGCGGGGAUGAGGUGUGGGUAGCGGAGAAAUUCCAAACGAACUUGGAGAUAGCUGGUUCUCUCCGAAAUAGCUUUAGGGCUAGCCUCGGAAUUGAGAAUGAUGGAGGUAGAGCACUGUUUGGACUAGGGGCCCAUCUCGGGUUACCGAAUUCAGAUAAACUCCGAAUGCCAUUCAUUCAUAUCCGGGAGUCAGACUGUGAGUGAUAAGAUCCAUAGUCGAAAGGGAAACAGCCCAGACCACCAGCUAAGGUCCCAAAAUAUAUGUUAAGUGGAAAAGGAUGUGGGGUUGCACAGACAACUAGGAUGUUGGCUUAGAAGCAGCCAUCAUUUAAAGAGUGCGUAAUAGCUCACUAGUCGAGUGACCCUGCGCCGAAAAUGUACCGGGGCUAAACAUAUUACCGAAGCUGUGGAGUACACCUUUAGGUGUAUUGGUAGGAGAGCGUUCUAAGGGCGUCGAAGGCAGAUCGUGAGGACUGCUGGAGCGCUUAGAAGUGAGAAUGCCGGUAUGAGUAGCGAAAGACAGGUGAGAAUCCUGUCCACCGAAUGACUAAGGUUUCCUGGGGAAGGCUCGUCCGCCCAGGGUUAGUCGGGACCUAAGCCGAGGCCGACAGGCGUAGGCGAUGGAUAACAGGUUGAUAUUCCUGUACCCGUUGUUUUUGUUUGAGCAAUGGAGGGACGCAGGAGGCUAAGGAAUGCAGACGAUCGGAAAUGUCUGUCCAAGCAGUAAGUCUGAAGAGGAGUCAAAUGCUUCUUUUCUUAAGGACAAGCUGUGAUGGGGAGGGAAAUAAUAGUACCGAAGUUCCUGAUGUCACACUGCCGAGAAAAGCUUCUAGUGAGAAAACAGCGGCCCGUACCGCAAACCGACACAGGUAGUCGAGGAGAGAAUCCUAAGGUGAGCGAGAGAACUCUCGUUAAGGAACUCGGCAAAAUGACCCCGUAACUUCGGGAGAAGGGGUGCUGAUCAUACGAUCAGCCGCAGUGAAUAGGCCCAAGCGACUGUUUAUCAAAAACACAGGUCUCUGCAAAAUCGUAAGAUGAAGUAUAGGGGCUGACGCCUGCCCGGUGCUGGAAGGUUAAGAGGAGUGCUUAGCGCAAGCGAAGGUACGAAUUGAAGCCCCAGUAAACGGCGGCCGUAACUAUAACGGUCCUAAGGUAGCGAAAUUCCUUGUCGGGUAAGUUCCGACCCGCACGAAAGGCGUAACGAUUUGGGCACUGUCUCAACGAGAGACUCGGUGAAAUUUUAGUACCUGUGAAGAUGCAGGUUACCCGCGACAGGACGGAAAGACCCCAUGGAGCUUUACUGUAGUUUGAUAUUGAGUGUCUGUACCGCAUGUACAGGAUAGGUAGGAGCCGUAGAAAUCGGAACGCUAGUUUCGAUGGAGGCGCUGGUGGGAUACUACCCCUGCGUUAUGGCCACUCUAACCCGCACCACUAAUCGUGGUGGGAGACAGUGUCAGAUGGGCAGUUUGACUGGGGCGGUCGCCUCCUAAAAGGUAACGGAGGCGCCCAAAGGUUCCCUCAGAAUGGUUGGAAAUCAUUCGAAGAGUGUAAAGGCAGAAGGGAGCUUGACUGCGAGACCAACAAGUCGAGCAGGGACGAAAGUCGGGCUUAGUGAUCCGGUGGUUCCGCAUGGAAGGGCCAUCGCUCAACGGAUAAAAGCUACCCUGGGGAUAACAGGCUUAUCUCCCCCAAGAGUCCACAUCGACGGGGAGGUUUGGCACCUCGAUGUCGGCUCGUCGCAUCCUGGGGCUGUAGUCGGUCCCAAGGGUUGGGCUGUUCGCCCAUUAAAGCGGCACGCGAGCUGGGUUCAGAACGUCGUGAGACAGUUCGGUCCCUAUCCGUCGCGGGCGUUGGAAAUUUGAGAGGAGCUGUCCUUAGUACGAGAGGACCGGGAUGGACUUACCGCUGGUGUACCAGUUGUUCUGCCAAGGGCAUUGCUGGGUAGCUAUGUAGGGAAGGGAUAAACGCUGAAAGCAUCUAAGUGUGAAGCCCACCUCAAGAUGAGAUUUCCCAUUUCUUUAAGAAAGUAAGAUCCCUGAGAGAUGAUCAGGUAGAUAGGUCAGGAGUGGAAGUACAGUGAUGUAUGAAGCGGACUGAUACUAAUCGAUCGAGGACUUAACCAA